AGCACGUUUCAAAGAGGGAUUGUGGGGAUGUGAAACCAGGAGCUUUUAAUGCUAUGACCAAAGAUUGGAGUUCUGUGUAGGAUGCCAUAGUCACACAAUAGUGCUGUUUCCUGAGGAGAUAUAAGA
ensembl:snoRNA